AACCGGAGCUAAUACCGGAUAACACCGAAGACCGCAUGGUCUUUGGUUGAAAGGCGGCGCAAGCUGCCACUUGCGGAUGGGCCCGCGGCGCAUUAGCUAGUUGGUGAGGUAACGGCUCACUAAGGCGACGAUGCGUAGCCGGCCUGAGAGGGUGACCGGCCACACUGGGACUGAGACACGGCCCAGACUCCUACGGGAGGCAGCAGUAGGGAAUCUUCCGCAAUGGGCGAAAGCCUGACGGAGCGACGCCGCGUGAGCGAAGAAGGCCUUCGGGUCGUAAAGCUCUGUUGUGAGGGACGAAGGAGCGCCGUUUGAAGAAGGCGGCGCGGUGACGGUACCUCACGAGGAAGCCCCGGCUAACUACGUGCCAGCAGCCGCGGUAAUACGUAGGGGGCGAGCGUUGUCCGGAAUUAUUGGGCGUAAAGCGCGCGCAGGCGGUUCCUUAAGUCUGAUGUGAAAGCCCACGGCUCAACCGUGGAGGGUCAUUGGAAACUGGGGGACUUGAGUGCAGGAGAGGAGAGCGGAAUUCCACGUGUAGCGGUGAAAUGCGUAGAGAUGUGGAGGAACACCAGUGGCGAAGGCGGCUCUCUGGCCUGCAACUGACGCUGA
rnacentral:rRNA from 1 species